rnacentral:tRNA from 1 species
CGUUAGCUCAGUCGGUAGAGCAGUUGGCUUUUAACCAAUUGGUCGCUGGUUCGAACCCAGCACG